rnacentral:rRNA from 1 species
GACGAACGCUGGCGGCGUGCCUAAUACAUGCAAGUAGAUCGCUGAAGAGAGGAGCUUGCUCUUCUUGGAUGAGUUGCGAACGGGUGAGUAACGCGUAGGUAACCUGCCUGGUAGCGGGGGAUAACUAUUGGAAACGAUAGCUAAUACCGCAUAAAAUGGAUUAUCGCAUGAUAAUCCAUUGAAAGGUGCAAAUGCAUCACUACCAGAUGGACCUGCGUUGUAUUAGCUAGUUGGUGGGGUAACGGCUCACCAAGGCGACGAUACAUAGCCGACCUGAGAGGGUGAUCGGCCACACUGGGACUGAGACACGGCCCAGACUCCUACGGGAGGCAGCAGUAGGGAAUCUUCGGCAAUGGACGGAAGUCUGACCGAGCAACGCCGCGUGAGUGAAGAAGGUUUUCGGAUCGUAAAGCUCUGUUGUAAGAGAAGAACGAGUGUGAGAGUGGAAAGUUCACACUGUGACGGUAUCUUACCAGAAAGGGACGGCUAACUACGUG